rnacentral:misc_RNA from 2 species
AACGCACCUUGCGCUCCUUGGUAUUCCGAGGAGCAUGCCUGUUUGAGUGUCAUUAAAUUCUCAACCUUUCCAGUUUGUUAUGAACGGGUCAGGCUUGGAUGUGGGGGUUGCAGGCUUCUCAGAAGUCAGCUCCUCUUAAAUACAUUAGCAGUACCUUUGUGGACCAGCUUUGGUGUGAUAAUUAUCUACGCCAUGGUUGUGAAGCAGCUUUACAUGGGGUUCAGCUUCUAACAGUCCAUUGACUUGGACAAUUUUUGACAUUUUGACCUCAAAUCAGGUAGGACUACCCGCUGAACUUAA